GAUGAACGCUAGCGGCAGGCCUAACACAUGCAAGUCGAGGGAGGAGCUUUCGGGCUUCGACCGGCGUACGGGUGCGUAACGCGUAUACAAUCUGCCUUUCACAUAGGGAUAGCCCGAAGAAAUUUGGAUUAAUACCUAAUGGUAUAUAGGAGUGGCAUCACAUUUAUAUUAAAGCUGAGGCGGUGAAAGAUGAGUAUGCGUUCUAUUAGCUAGUUGGAGAGGUAACGGCUCCCCAAGGCGACGCUAGAUAGGGGUUCUGAGAGGGAUAUCCCCCACACUGGUACUGAGAUACGAACCAGACUCCUACGGGGGGCAGCAGUGAGGAAUAUUGGACAAUGGUCGGAAGACUGAUCCAGCCAUGCCGCGUGCAGGAAGACGGCCUUAGGGGUUGUAAACUGCUUUUGCAGGGGAAGAAUAAGGACUACGAGUAGUUUGAUGACGGUACUCUGCGAAUAAGCAUCGGCUAACUCCGUG
rnacentral:rRNA from 1 species